AUGGAUGUCAGGGGGCUAAGGCUCCUCUCUUUCUCUUUUUUUCAGGCUGUGAGGGAGCUCACAGAAACACACACAUAUAUUUAUUAUGAUUUACACUUUGUUUUUCUGAAACAGAUGUUCUGCCAUCUUUACCUCCUCUGGAUCAUCUGGGAGAACAGCCCAGGGCAGGACGGGAGACGCUGGACCAACAUCAGGGUGAUGACCCAUAAAAAGGAAAAACGGCAUGAACAAUCUGGAAUCAGAGUCUGUUGUCACAGCCAAACCCAAACAUUAACGACAAGAUUAGCUCCGGACAGCUGCACACAAAGGCGUUAUGACUCAAAGCCAGCCAGAAGGACAGGAUGUUCUCUUGGCCCCCAAAAGCAAGACGAUUGUGCAAUACAUUCAAGUCAAAACUCAUCGCCCCCCCCCCCCCCCCCACACACACACACACACCCCGCCCACCACCCUCGCCGCCCACCACCCUCGCCGCCACCAUUGUUUUUGUGCUGUGCAGCUCUGAAGAGGGAGCGCUGUGUGCUAAUCUCUCACUCUUUCCAAGAAAAAUACAUUCCUGAACGCUCCUUUCAUGUUUGUCACAUUACGGAGGAGAACGUUUUUCCCCCGGAACUGGCAGGCGGCCAGCCCUCCCAACCAAACGGCCCCAGACACGUGCACGCCGCACAGGUCGGGGAACAGCCUGCACAGUUUACACAGUUUACUCCUACAUUGCAACAUGUGGACAGUCCACUUUGUCUUUUCUUUGCAGGUAGGGUUAGGGUUCGGGUCACAUGA
rnacentral:lncRNA from 1 species